GACGAACGCUGGCGGCGUGCCUAAUACAUGCAAGUCGAGCGAAUCUGAUAAAAGCUUGCUUUUUGAAGAUUAGCGGCGGACGGGUGAGUAACACGUGGGCAACCUGCCUGUAAGACUGGGAUAACUUCGGGAAACCGGAGCUAAUACCGGAUAAUAUAAAGAACCUCCUGGUUCUUUAUUGAAAGAUGGUUUCGGCUAUCACUUACAGAUGGGCCCGCGGCGCAUUAGCUAGUUGGUGAGGUAAUGGCUCACCAAGGCGACGAUGCGUAGCCGACCUGAGAGGGUGAUCGGCCACACUGGGACUGAGACACGGCCCAGACUCCUACGGGAGGCAGCAGUAGGGAAUCUUCCACAAUGGACGAAAGUCUGAUGGAGCAACGCCGCGUGAGCGAUGAAGGCCUUCGGGUCGUAAAGCUCUGUUGUUAGGGAAGAACAAGUACCGGAGUAACUGCCGGUACCUUGACGGUACCUAACCAGAAAGCCACGGCUAACUACGUGCCAGCAGCCGCGGUAAUACGUAGGUGGCAAGCGUUGUCCGGAAUUAUUGGGCGUAAAGCGCGCGCAGGCGGUUUCUUAAGUCUGAUGUGAAAGCCCACGGCUCAACCGUGGAGGGUCAUUGGAAACUGGGAAACUUGAGUGCAGAAGAGGAA
rnacentral:rRNA from 1 species